GUUAGCACCAAGGAGUCAACAGGGCUAUUCUUGCAUCUUGCAAAACAUGCUGGAGGGUUGGUGGGCAAAAGUGAGCGCUGAGCCCAGCCUGUUGGGUUUUCCAUAGGCUGCUGUACAGAAAACAUACUCUGUAGCUGACUGAAAACAUUUUCAAGGUGUUGUUAAGAGGUCUGUACCACAGUGUGCUCUCUGCUUGAGACUGCUUGGAAAGUACUGGAGGUUAGAAAUUCAAGCUCUGUGCAUACAGGUUUUUGCAUUAUAAGAAGAAAAAGUGAAGUACUUCAAUGUUCAGAGCACCUGAAGGGCAGAGAAGAAACAGAGAUAACAAACACCCAUGGAUCGUCUAUGGCUUCAGUGUUGUAUUUUCCCACUCUCCCGUUUCCACUGGUCACCUGAAUGGAGUGCAAGAUAUACCUUUUACUCAAAGCCAGAGAAGAUCGAAAGCACUCAGUAGUUGCACUGCCUUGAUCGCAGCAAUACCAGACCUCUUCAAGAAGUGCAUCAUCACAGAACUCACAUUUAUCUUCCGUGGCUCUCCCUUCUUCCCAGUCCCUGAGAUGAUAACAGAGGAAGAGGAUGUGAUUAGUGUUUCCUGCCACGGGCUGUCAGCUGAGGAAUGAGAACUGUGUGCCAAGAGGAGAAAAGAGCUGCCACAGAUGGAUGAAGCCUGUCCUUUUCAAACAUGAAGCACAGCAAGUCCAAGCUGGAUCCUCGUUCUCCUUGGGGAUCAACCUGCCGUGAUGAUGAGAGAAACAGAGCAAGUCCCCAGCCCUCUCCAGACGUAAACUGCAAAACCACAGGCUUCACCAAAGCCCUUCAAGCCAGCCCAUCUCCCAGCAGAAUAUCUGUCCCUUUUUCUCAAUACAGGGCUGGAAAUAA
rnacentral:lncRNA from 1 species